rnacentral:rRNA from 1 species
GUUAGCGGCCAUACCCAAGGGGAAACACCCGAUCCCUUUUCGAACUCGGAAGUUAAGACCUUGUGGGAAUGGUUUCGUAGUGCGUUUCUACGUGCAACGGGCCGAACGCUGCUAACA